GGAUCGAUAGCUCAGUGGUAGAGCGAGAGAUUGCAGUUCAUCGCAGUUAUCUCUAGGCCCCGCGUUCGAACCGCGGUCGGUCCU
rfam:Colletotrichum chlorophyti strain NTL11 CCHL11_scaffold60, whole genome shotgun sequence.